AUAUGCAAUAUGUUUUGCCACAAUCCACUUAAGGAGCUAAGAUCAACUAUAAAUUGGAACUACAUGUAUAUGCUUUAGUGCUGUCAAAAUCCUUUAAAAAAAAUCCAAUCAAAAGGACCUACUUCACCUACCUGUCCCAAUGAUGAAUACAGAUCAUAUAUAUAUAUAUAUUGAGUCUUAUAAAAAAAACAGUGAAGGAGAAUAAAAAUAAUGAAAAUAUAGAGCUGAUCAGCUAAUGAUUGUACAUGUACAUGAUGUAUAAAUGGCAACAAUUCUUACAUGUAUACUAGUACAUUGAAAUUAACAAUAUUAAUAAAUGUUUUAUAAAUUUGAUCUCAUAGACAUUAGAGGAAUAAAAUCAAUCACGUUUCAAAAAUUUGAUUUAGUUGAGCCUUUUUUUUACGCCUGUUUUCAGGACAUAUUAUGGUAUACCAUUGACUGUCCGUCGUCAACAUGUCGGACAUAUACUCAAAAAUAAUAAAUACUAAAAGGUACAUGUAGUAGAUAAACUAUUUGCGUGCAAUAAUUUACAAUUCUGUCUGGCAAUUGUCAUUGACCACAUAAUCAUUUGUAUGGUUCAUUGGUCAACAGUAAGUCCUCUUUUAAUAUGCUAUAUUGUGUAAUCAAUAGGUCAUCUUCAUGUAUAUUUGGUGUAUGAAAUGAUUAUUAAAUGUAUUAUAACAAAUUAAAAUAUCAAAUAAGAGGAUGUGAUAUGAUUGUAAAUGAGACACAAGAGACCAAAUAACACAGAAAUAACUAUACAUGUAGGUCACCAUAUGGACUUCAACAAUGAGUAAAACCUAUUCUGCAUA
rnacentral:lncRNA from 1 species